AUCCAGAUGAUGAGUCCUGAAAAGAACGAAACGCGCGUUCUGGAU
rnacentral:hammerhead_ribozyme from 1 species